CGGGAACCGUUACCUGCUCCUCAUCUACUCCUCAGCAAAUAACAAGAACACCACCAGAGCCCUGGAGACAUGGAAAAUAACACAUCUAUUUACUGGACCGUAAACAAGACCGACGGCGCUGGGAAAAAACCUUCAUGGUCUGUGAGGACAUUGCUGGACUAAAGCAAGGAUACCGCAAGCGAACAAGGGCCGUGCAGCUCUUCAGACAUAUUACAGUCGAAGACAAAGGUGAGUAUCUUAGUCACUGUAAUCUAAUAACAUUCUCUUUUAUGAAUGAAAAAAUAAAAACUCCUCAGCACUUUCAUCUAGCACUUUCGAUUAACAUUUAAGAGCAGGCUUUGUGGUUAAUCAGGGGUAAUAAUUAUCAAAGUCGACAGGUAAUUAAAUUAAACAUAAUUGGCUACACGAAUUGGCUGUUCUACAACAUUUUCCCCCACAUAAUUAAAGAGAAAUAUGUCAGUAUUCAGAGAAUGACUUAAAAACAAAAAAAGGGUUUAGUCACACUAGAGAACUUGAUGAUGCUUACGAAGUGCGUUAAAACGGAUAAAAAGUAGUUAGCAUUGAACUUUAGCGAUCUAUUUAGUCGGUAAACGAACCACUUUAAUGGAAUAUUCUGGGUUCAAUGCAAGUUCUGCUCAAUUGACAGUAUUUGUGGUAUAUGUUGAUUACCACAAAAAUAACUGUCGCUAAAAAUGAAGAUUACGAUGAGGCGCUUACAACGGAAAUGAAUGGGGUCAAUCUUUCGAGAAUUUAAAAGCAAAAUGUCAAAUCUUAUCAUUUUAUAAAAUCACUUAACAUACUUUUUUCCGGUAAAAUGUGUGCAUUAUGUGAGCUCUAACUCACUUUUACAGUCAUGUUAGAGUUUUAGGCAUUUUGCAGCAAUGAAGUUCUAAAAUAACUUUUAGAACAGAAAAAGUUG